GAUGAACGCUGGCGGCGUGCCUAAUACAUGCAAGUCGAGCGAACAGAUGAGGAGCUUGCUCCUCUGACGUUAGCGGCGGACGGGUGAGUAACACGUGGAUAACCUACCUAUAAGACUGGGAUAACUUCGGGAAACCGGAGCUAAUACCGGAUAAUAUAUUGAACCGCAUGGUUCAAUAGUGAAAGACGGUUUUGCUGUCACUUAUAGAUGGAUCCGCGCCGCAUUAGCUAGUUGGUAAGGUAACGGCUUACCAAGGCAACGAUGCGUAGCCGACCUGAGAGGGUGGUCGGCCACACUGGAACUGAGACACGGUCCAGACUCCUACGGGAGGCAGCAGUAGGGAAUCUUCCGCAAUGGGCGAAAGCCUGACGGAGCAACGCCGCGUGAGUGAUGAAGGUCUUCGGAUCGUAAAACUCUGUUAUUAGGGAGGAACAAAUGUGUAAGUAACUAUGCACGUCUUGACGGUACCUAAUCAGAAAGCCACGGCUAACUACGUG
rnacentral:rRNA from 1 species